GGGGAAUCCUGGCUUGGCUGAGCCAAAGCAGGAGCCGGCCUCCCUCCUCACGUGGAGCUGGGACAGGAUCACAAGCAGGAUGUUUGGGUGGCACCUCCACCCUUCCCUCUGUGUGGCCCCUGGGACCUGCAUUGCCUCCAGCCUGGGGCCCUCUCCCUCCCCUGUUUGCCUGCUAGAGCCCAGGGUCUCAGCUCCCUUCACCAGGGCUGCACACCUCCAGAAAGCACACCUGGGCGUGGUAGGGCCCGCAGUCCAGAGAACUUUCGAAGUGCAAAGCCCACCGGCGGCACCUGGAAAGGGGCGGGUGGAGUGCAGGCCAGAAGCUGGGGAUUUUUCCUUAAUAACAACCUGGCGCCCUAAUUCAUUGGCGGCUCUGCCUGCCUGCAAGCUGGCUUGCACCCCCUCUCCCCUCCUGGAGAAGCCUUCAUCUUCAAAGCUUUUUGGGAAACAGUUAAUUAACCCCCACAGCCCUACCACCUGCCCAGAAGGCUGCUGGUUCCCUCUUCUCCAUGGGGCGGGGAAAGGGGAGGGCCAGGGAAACUGAAGCCUGAAGAAAGAGUGUGUGGCUGGGACCUGAGAGAUCGCAGGAUCCCAGACAAGGAAGCUGCCUUCCCUUUCAAUCCCCCCCAGCCCCACCCCUCAAAGGGCUGGUGGGACCCCCAGAGGCCAAGCCACACAGCCAAAGUGCUAAGGGUUGAGGAGCUUAUCUUGCAACACAGUUUAUUUUGGGCCCUCCAGCGAGUCUGACUCCCCUGCUUCUCUCCCUUGCCUGUUCUUCACUUGAGAAUUCUUCAGGGUAACCCCAUGCCGCUGUGUCCCGGAGCGAACCAAGGGCAAAGCAGCAAAGGCCACUGCAAACUUCCUCAAGGCCUUCCGUUGGUUGCUCACUCACUGCACCAGAGUUUGGACAAACGGUUUUGCUUUGCUGGGCCUC
rnacentral:lncRNA from 1 species